UUGACACGGCCCCCCCUGGGCCGUAAGCUCAGAGCCGCGCACGUCUGGGGAAGUCCGGUGCGAGUCCGGCGCUGUCCCGCAACGGUAACGAGACCCCUCGAAGCCCGAUCGCCAGCCGUGACGCCUACACACCCC
rnacentral:ncRNA from 22 species